AGGUCAGAGUUUCAGAGCUAGAGGGGGUCUUUUCAGACUCCACUGCCCAGCCAUAAUUCUUCCAGACCCACUGGCCCUGUUGGUGUCUCAGAUUGGCCAUUUACACAGUUUUCGCAUGUCUGGUCUUUUAAGAUUAAUGUAUCAUACAAGAGGAAGGCAGCUCUUGGAUGCUGUGGUUUGGCCCUCCCCCAGCAAGAUGUCC
rnacentral:lncRNA from 1 species